UGGGGAAUUUUCCGCAAUGGGCGAAAGCCUGACGGAGCAAUACCGCGUGAGGGACGAAGGCCUGUGGGUUGUAAACCUCUUUUGUUAGGGAAGAUAAUGACGGUACCUAACGAAUAAGCAUCGGCUAACUCCGUGCCAGCAGCCGCGGUAAGACGGAGGAUGCAAGCGUUAUCCGGAAUUAUUGGGCGUAAAGCGUACGUAGGCUGUUUCAUAAGUCUGUUGUCAAAGCCCGAGGCUCAACCUUGGAUCGGCAAUGGAAACUGUGAGACUAGAGAGAGAUAGGGGCAGGAGGAAUUCCAGGUGUAGCGGUGAAAUGCGUAGAUAUCUGGAAGAUCACC
rnacentral:rRNA from 1 species